rnacentral:rRNA from 1 species
UACGUAGGGUGCGAGCGUUAAUCGGAAUUACUGGGCGUAAAGUGUGCGCAGGCGGCCGCGCAAGUCGAGUGUGAAAGCCCCGGGCUCAACCUGGGAAUUGCAUUCGAGACUGCUCUGCUAGGGUGCGGAAGAGGGAAGCGGAAUUUCCGGUGUAGCGGUGAAAUGCGUAGAUAUCGGAAGGAACACCAGUGGCGAAAGCGGCUUCCUGGUCCAGCACCGACGUUCAGGCACGAAAGCGUGGGGAGCAAACAGG